GACAAAGCGUGUUCUCACUAAAGGAGAGCACGUGUUGCGGAUGGGGCCGGACAAAGCACCCUGCAAUGACUAGGCAGGAAGGGGGCCUAGUGCUGGUUGGAGUGUAUGUUGCUGGGGAAAAUUUGUUGUUGCAAAUUUAGGGGUGGGAUCAGAGGAUAUUUAAGCAGGGUCCACAGCAAGCUACUUCUCUUUCACUGUGGACAUCGGAUCAGACUGAACUCAGUGAAGGACUGGUUGUAUUUACAUUUCUUCUCCUUUUCCUUUCCUUUGUUUAAUUUUAUUUGAUUGGUUUCCUCUUAUUAUAUUAUUAGAUCCCUGCCACCUUUCCCUGGGGCUUAGAGCCCCCGUGGGCUGCUGGGGCUUUGCCCUCGGCUCUGGCUGUUGGGCGACUCCCGGCCUAAUCCUAGCUUGGGGCCCUUAGGGAUUUAGUGGCUGGGGAAGACCUUUCCUUUAAUUUAUUUAUUUUAGCUUCAUUUUAAUUUGAGUUUAGUAGCUCACCCCCCCACGUGGAACCGACUGCCUGCUCAGCGGUGGUGGCGCUGCUGGGGAAGCUGUUAGUUUUGUAAAUUGCGCAUAGCGCGCUUGGCAAUUUUUUCGGGCUGUUUUAAUCUGCUUUUGGGCCUGAUUCGGCCUGGGAGGCCUCCAGGGCGAGUGCGGGCGGUAGAGACCUCCAUUUUGGGUGGUUUUGGGCGGGAGCGCCAUUUCCUGCCUCCCUCUACCUUAUCCUGGCCUCCAGUGGCCGUUGGAGUGAGUGCAGCCUAUAGUUGGCUGUGUUUGCUGGUGGCGCCACCUGGUGGCGGUUUGUAUGGUUGCAGCUGAUUGAAAGUGACUGAACCAAUUUUCCAUUCAGCCAGUUAUUGCCUGUUAGCGUCUUUAGGUAUUGUUUGCCAUCUUUAAAUUGUUUAUUUGUUUUUCCAUUGGUAGUAGGUAUGGCCCCGAAAAGGAAGACGUCUAAGAGGCCUGGUCUUGUGUCCUCAGCGAAGAGACCUAUUAAAGGCCCAUCCCAAGCCUUGCGUUCACCUGCGCCAAAUCAGUCGUUGAGUCGCAUCCAAUCCAUGGUCACUGGUUUGGCUGGUGACCCUGCUGCGCUGGCCCGUGUUGAAGCUGAAAUGGACGGCCUGUUGCACCGCUGCUCAACUCCGUCUACUUCUUCUGCAAGGCCAGCCCCUCCCGCAGGCGCAUCAUCUCUGGUGUCGUCAUCUAGCAAAGAGGAGAGAGAGUUUAUAGCAGCUGGGGGUUUCUUACCUAAUACUGUGGCCCAAACCCCUGAUUUACCCAAGUCUCAGGCUGCCAUGCCGAAGGGUCGGGGUGGUGCCAGGGGAACGCCCAGGAGGAGGGCAUCUGCUCGGAUCCGGGCAGUGCAAGCAGCAGGUGCGCCGCCCCCAGCAGCUGUGCGCUCGGUUUCUGGUCAUUCACAGGUUAUCUCUUUUCAGUCUAUUCCGGGCACCGCUCAGCAGGGUGAUGCUUCUGAGUCUUCGGUAGAGGAUAGCCUUCUUCCACCUCCGAGACCCUCUUCUGGUGGGCACCGUCGCCGCAAAAAGAGUUCCAGGAGGCGCGCCAAGAGAAGGCGGAGGGAUACUUCAUCCUCUCCCUCAGGUACUUCAUCCUCUAGUUCAAGCAGCGAUGAGGAGGCCUCUCUCAAGCUUUACUGGGGCUUUGGGGAGUCAACGGGGCUUCCAAAAUGGGCAUGGGAGCGAAGGGCCAACUCUCACAGAGCAAAGUACGGGGCAGUUCAGGAUUGUCGAGAUGGGGUCCUGGUACCUGAGGUAAAGGUCGCCACCAACUCUGUCAGGGACCUCAUACCCGGUGCCCACUUGACUACCAAGCUGCGGUCCAGGAUUUUGGAUGGCCGUUAUAUUGACAUAUUCAGCCUUGCCCCUCCGCAAGAGGGUCAGGACCCACAAGACAAAGGCUCCACCGCCUCUAAAAAACGGGCGGUGGUAGCAAAGGUGGAUAGGACAUUUGAAAGGUGGCUGGAUAGCUUCCAAGUUUUUGCUGGAGUCGUGUCCGCAGCUUAUCCUAGGAGAUCUUUGCAUCUAUGGGUGUACAGUGGUGCCCCGCAAGACGAAAAGAAUCCGUUCUGGGAGUCUCUUCGUCUAGCGGUUUUUUCGUCUUGCGAAGCAAGCCCAUUGACGGAUUAGCGGAUUAGCGCUAUUAGCGCUAUUAGCGGCUUUUAGCGGCUUUUAGCAGCUUAUCAGCUUAUCGGAUAAGCAGAUAAGCGGCUUAGCGACUUAGAAAAAGAGGGGGAAAAGGAAAAAAAAAACGCAGGAACUCGCAAGACAUUUUCGUCUUGCGAAGCAAGCCCAUAGCAGAUUCGUUUUGCGAAGCACCUCCAAAACGGAAAACUCUUUCGUCUAGCGAGUUUUCCGUCUUGCGAGGCAUUCGUCUUGCGGGGCACCACUGUAUUUGUCUAUUGUCCGUUCGGCCUUUACGAUGGCUGGAGAAUCAGCUGCAAUAUCGUAUGAUGAGAACUUUAGGCGCAGGGCAGCUAAGAUCCCCACGGCCCGCUGGGACCGGAAGGAUUUGGACGUAUGGACCACUUUUGUGGCUCCGCGUAUUGACAGGAAGGCUGCAGAACCUCAGAAAUCUAAGGCUGUCCUCCCAAGGGUGGGUCGUAAGUUGUUUUGCUGGGAUUUUAACAAGGGUACCUGCCUGCGACAAUUCUGCAGGUACUCACAUGCAUGUGAGAAGUGUUCUGGGAACCAUCCGGCUUCAGCUUGUACAGGGGGCCGUCGGUCCUUUUGGAAAGGGGGGGGCCCCCAGCAGCCCCCAAAAGCCGCUCCUCCGGCUCCAGCCGCUGGAGCAGCAAAGUAAUACCUUGUCCUCUCUAGCCUAUACCCCGGUACGGCUACAGCCGCUCCUGUUAUUAUUGCAGUCAUAUCCAGACAGGGCAUCGGCGUCUUAUUUGCGGGAUGAUUUUUCUUUGGGCUUUAGGAUUCCAGUGGUUGCCACGCCGGUGGCUAGGAGUCCUGCGAAUCAGAGGUCAGUUUUGGACAUGCCAGAGGUGGCACGCAAGAAGAUCGGGAAGGAGCUGGCUUUACGUCGUAUGGCUGGCCCUUUCGUUGUUCCCCAUUUCCCAAUUUGCAUAUUUCACCGUUGGGUAUUGUUCCUAAAAAAGCCCCGGGGGAAUUCCGCCUAAUUCACAAUCUCUCACACCCUAAAGGCACAUCAGUAAAUGAUGUUAUUCCCCCGGAGCUUUGUACGGUAAAGUAUGCUUCCCUUGAUCAAGCGAUCAAGAUGGUACGGAAAUUUGGGCCAGGCACCCUAAUGGCCAAAUGCGACAUAGAAUCCGCAUUUCGGCUGCUUCCUAUUCAUCCCGAUGACUUCUGGUUACUGGGCUUCCAGUUUGAUGGAGGAUUUUAUUUUGAUAAGGCCAUGCCUAUGGGCGGCUCGGUAGCCUGUGCGGCUUUUGAGCGUUUUAGUUCAUUUUUGGAUUGGGCUUUGCGCAAAAGGACUGGUCUGAGUGGUGUCACUCAUUUCCUGGAUGAUUUUUUAUUGGCCUCAGCCAAUGAUACAGGGCACUGCGUCGUGCUACUCCAGGCCUUUGCCGACUUAGCGGAAGAGCUGGGCGUACCGUUGGCCGCGGAGAAGACUGAGGGUCCUUCUACGCGUCUGACUUAUUUGGGUAUCUUGUUGGAUACUGUGGCUCAAACAUCCAGGUUGCCGGCAGAUAAAAUACUUGCGCUUAAAGGAGUCAUUGAGGAACUGCUGCCCUUGAAGAAGGUGACUUUGCGACAGUUACAGUCGUUGCUGGGUCACCUGAACUUUGCUUGUAGGGUGGUUGCCCCGGGGCGACCAUUCUGCUCACGUUUGGCCAGACUCAUGUCAGGUUUGAGAUCCCCGCGGCAUAGGGUGCGCCUUUCAGCCCAAGUGAGGGUUGACCUUCGGAUUUGGUUGGAAUUCCUGGAGGAAUUCAACGGGGUAUCUUUGUGGCAGGACACUUUGAACCUCCACACUGAUUUUCAGGUGCAUUCCGAUGCCGCGGGGUCUUUGGGGUUUGGCCUGUAUUGGGACGGUAGGUGGUGUGCAGAGCGCUGGCCACUAGCUUGGCGUGGGGAAUCCAUAACUCGGGACCUAUCAUUUCUGGAGUUUUUUCCCAUUGUAGUGGCUGUGCAUUUGUGGGUCGAGCAUUUCAGGGACCGUCGAGUGUGUUUUUGGUCCGAUAACCUGGCGGUGGUGAACGUGCUAGCCAAGCAGUCGUCACGAUCCACUAGGGUAUCAGCCCUGUUGCGGGCUUUUGUUUUACAUUGCUUGCGUUUUAACAUUGUAUUUUCUGCUCGUUUUGUUCCUGGCGUGUCUAAUGACAUUACUGAUGCUCUGUCCCGUUUUCAGAUGGAGCGGUUCAGGUCCCUGGCGCCAGUGGCUCGAGACCGUCCGGAAUUUUUCCCGGAUCAUCUCUGGAACCUUGGCAGCACUUAGUUUUACAGGGAGUAGCUGCAUUUCUUGCCCCCUCCACUUUGAGGUCUUAUAAGAAGGCUUGGACUGAUUUUUUACAGUUCACUGGGCAGCCGGUGGUGGGGGGAGUUGGUAACCCCCAUUCUACCACCCAGGUGCUCCAGUACCUGGCACACCUAUUUCAGAGGUGUCGGGCAAACAGGACGCUGAGACUGCAUUCUGCAGCAAUUUCCUUCUUUAGCAAGGCAAUUUUUAACAAGGAUCCAUGUGGGAAAUUUGUGGUGCGAAAGGCACUUGACGGCUGGGGGCGACUUCGUCCCUCCAGACCAUCUCCCAGGCGGCCCAUCACAUUUCACCUGCUGACUAAGAUACGCAGCAAACUGAGGAGCAUCUGUUGGUCCAGGUUUGAGGCUCGGUUGUUUUCCGCAGUCUUCUCUUUAGCCUUCUUUGGGGCCCUGAGAGUGGGGGAGGUGGUCCUGGAGCCUAAGCGGGAUGGAGGUUCUAGGGGUUUGUUGCUACAGGACGUGAGCUUGGCUCCGUCAGAAGUGCAAGUCAAUGUCAGGAGUCAAAAACGGAUCAAAUGGGAAAGGGAGCGGUGAUUCGGCUCCCAGCAACUGGGAAAAGGGGCCCGUGCCCGGUCAAGGAUCUCCAGAAAUAUAUGGCCCUACGACCGCCAGGUGAGGGCCCUUUGUUUAUUCAUGAAAAUGGGCAUCCGUUGGCCCGGCACCAGUCACCAAGGUGCUGCGCAAGGUGAUUGCGGAUUGCGGCCUUGCAGCUCCCGAGUUUGCUCCUCAUUCCUUUCGGAUAGGGGCUGCAACGACGGCUGCUCACUGGGGUUAUCGGUGGAGAGGAUUAAGGACCUGGGCCGGUGGAGGUCAGAUGCGUACAGAGGUUAUGUACGGAAAUGAUGUGAUUGCAUGCGCUUACGUUUCUUGUUUCCACCCUAGGCCCAGCAGCUAUACGCAUCUGGAUUGUGGGGCACAGUAUUGUACACUGGGCUGCUAGCAGAGCUCGUCAGUCCAGAGUGGGUGAUGGCCUUGGCCUGCCACAGCAAGUGCGUGUGUCCUGGAUCGCCAGAAGGGGGAUCCUGUGGAAGGAGCUUCUACCGCUUAUGCAGAGGCGUGUUCUCAUGGAAGGCCCUCCUACAGCGAUUGUGGUUCAGCUCGGAGAAAACGAUAUGGUUCAUCUUCCUGUUAUGUCCUGCGGGCUGUUAUGUUGGAAGAUUUGCGGUAAUUGGCGGCCAUGGUGCCGGCAACUAAAAUAAUUUGGUCACAGUUGCUUCAACGCCGUAAGUGGCGAGGUAGCCCCUGCUUGGCGGCCACUGAACGGGUUGGAAAGCGGAUUAAUUCUGCGGUGAGCAGGUUGGUGGUCAAUUUGGGGGGGUUUGUGAUUCCACACCCUCUUAUUACGUUCAAAGCCGCUGAAUUAUUUAUGAUGGAUGGGGUUCAUCUGUCUUCUGUUGGGAAUGAUGUGUGGUUACGUUCAGUGGUGGAUAAGUUGAGGGCGUGUUGAGGCUGUGAGUGGUUGGCGGCGAGCGUAAGGGCUCGUGUGGCGGUUAGGCAUUGGUUAAAUUGGUUGGUGGAGGGGUAUGGAUUGGCUGUGCCUGCCCCUCCAAUGCUGUUGCGGAAUGGGAAUUCCGUUAAAGGAAUUCAGGGGCUUACCAUCCUUUCGUCCAAACCCCUGGAAUCGGGUUCGGGCCGUGUAAGCCCCUAGGAGCAUGCAGGGAGAAGCUGAGGGUCUGUGUCGCAGCUCCAGUCAUCCCUGAACUUGUUCCUCCACACUGGCUUUCGCUGGAAUCCGGGAGCCAGUGCUGUCCCCAAUGUGGGGGGGGGACAGCUAGUCAUAACCAAUGCCUAAGCAACCACUCACAAUGUGUAUGCUAAUAAAGUUGUGGCCAAAAUUAUGCCAAAAACCUUAAACAAAAAUUAUGUGUGAUGUGUGAGUUAUUGGGGUAAGGGUGUUUUGGGG